GACGAACGCUGGCGGCGUGCUUAACACAUGCAAGUCGAACGGAAAGGCCCUGCUUUUGUGGGGUGCUCGAGUGGCGAACGGGUGAGUAACACGUGAGUAACCUGCCCUUGACUUUGGGAUAACUUCAGGAAACUGGGGCUAAUACCGGAUAGGAGCUCCUGCUGCAUGGUGGGGGUUGGAAAGUUUCGGCGGUUGGGGAUGGACUCGCGGCUUAUCAGCUUGUUGGUGGGGUAGUGGCUUACCAAGGCUUUGACGGGUAGCCGGCCUGAGAGGGUGACCGGCCACAGUGGGACUGAAAAACGGCCCAAAACCCUAGGGGAGGCAGGAGUGGGGAAUAUUGCAAAAGGGGCGGAAGCCGGAUGCAGCAACGCCGGGGGGGGGAUGACGGCCUUGGGGUUGUAAACCGCUUUCGCCUGUGACGAAGGGUGGGUGACGGUAAUGGGGAAAGAAGCACCGGCUAACUACGU
rnacentral:rRNA from 1 species